GUCGAUGGAGGACGGAGUAUCUCCCUCUGCUGCAAGAGCGGAGCGGACGCGCAACAAGAAGUCGAGACAACGUGAAGAAAGGAGACAUCGUCCUGAUGGUCGACGACUCUGUACCGCGUGGAGUGUGGCCGCUGGGCCGGGUCGAAGAGGCCAUCGUGAGCGCUGACGGCCGAGUGCGCUCUGUCCGAGUUCGCGCACGCGGUACAUCGUACUACAGACCGGUCACUAAGAUCGUCAAGAUCCUCGACGAGAGUAACCCAAGACGAGAGUGAAAGGAAAACGAAGGAACAAGACUGCCAGAGUUGAGAGUCAAGUUGUGACUCAAGAAGAGAUGCGUGUUACGAAGAAGUUUAUUUGUUUUGAUGCUCACUUGUAAGCAUCAAAAAGGGGAGGGUGUAAGUGCCUUUCCUGACGCCUUCCUACCUACCUGCUUCCUUUUCGCGAUCGGCGCGACAUCUGCAGAGUAGUGUCUUUGAUCGUCGCUAGAUGGCACUGCUGUUGUGUUCGCCAGCUGACCGAUAGUGGUGGGGUGGUGGUCAAAUUCGAAGUAGAUAUUCGAUGUGAGAACUAUUUGAGUUGUUUGAUCAGCUGUUUCGGUUUUUGGGACACGUAUGACGUGGAAGAAUGGCGGUCAGACCAGAUUUUGUUGCUCUGUUCCGAUGUGGCGAGUGAGGACACAAAUCUUGAUACCAUUCAUUCGGUCAUUCAUUGAUUUCACCUGGCAACAAUAAAUUGCUGGACUGACUGGA